GUCUCACUAAAGUUGUGCAUGUUGUUCUGGAACUUGUGAUCCUCUUGUGUAUACCUUCCAAGUAGCUGGGAUUACAGGCAAGCACCACCAUCCCCAGCUAUUUGUAUUGUUGUUUUUUGUGGUACAGGGGAUUGAACCCAGGCUUACUUUAUCAUUUUACCACUGAGGUACACCACAGCCCAUUUUUUAUUUUGAGACAGGGUCUCUCUAACCUUCCCAGGCUGGCCUCAAACUUAUGAUUCUCCUGCUUUAGCCUCCCAAAUUGUUAGGAUUACAGACAUGUACCAUUGCAAUGUUUUUUAUUGUUUUUAAUGGAAAUAGCUUUAAUGGAAUGUUUUAACUACAAAAGAAACUCAUACUACAGUGUUAUGAUAAAAGUAAAGUCAUCCCUCAGUAUCCACAGGGGAUUGGCUCCAUGACUUCCCUCUACACCCUGCCAAAAUACCUAAAUCUGCAGAUGUUAAAGUUCAUUAGAUAAAAUGGUGUGAUAUAGUUGACCAAUAAACAACAUAGAGGUUAGGGUCCCUAUGCAGUCACAAAUCCACAUAUAACUUUUGACACCCCCCAAAACUUUAUUGCUGUUGCCUGGAAGCUUUAUCAAUAACCUAGUCAAUUUAACAUAUAUUUUAUAUGUUGUAUGUAUUAUAUUUGGUGAAAAUGCUCAAAACCUUGUGGUAUCACUUUUUACUGCAAUAUGCAAUUUACUGGACAGAGACCGUUCACAUGGAGAUGAUUAGCAUCAUAGGGCAUUUUAAGCGGAUAUUUGCAACAUGAAGCUCACUGCAAC
rnacentral:lncRNA from 1 species